rnacentral:rRNA from 1 species
UACAGAGCCUGCAAGCGUUAUUCGGAUUCACUGGGCGUAAAGGGUGCGCAGGCGGCCAAGUGUGUGAGGCGUGAAAGCCUGGGGCUUAACCCCAGAAUUGCACCUCAAACUACUUGGCUAGAGCAUUGGAGAGGGUAGCAGAAUUCAUGGUGUAGCAGUGAAAUGCGUAGAUAUCAUGAGGAAUACCAGAGGCGAAGGCGGCUACCUGGACAAUUGCUGACGCUCAGGCACGAAAGCGUGGGGAGCAAAAGGG